UAACCAGCCCAAGUAACGGGAUCAUCCAAGGU
rnacentral:piRNA from 1 species